CGAAGCGUGCGAUUGGAUUGCACGUCUAAGCAGUAAGGCUGAGUAUUAGGCAAAUCCGGUACUCGUUAAGGCUGAGCUGUGAUGGGGAGAAGACAUUGUGUCUUCGAGUCGUUGAUUUCACACUGCCGAGAAAAGCCUCUAGAUAGAAAAUAGGUGCCCGUACCGCAAACCGACACAGGUAGUCAAGAUGAGAAUUCUAAGGUGAGCGAGCGAACUCUCGUUAAGGAACUCGGCAAAAUGACCCCGUAACUUCGGGAGAAGGGGUGCUCUUUAGGGUUAACGCCCAGAAGAGCCGCAGUGAAUAGGCCCAAGCGACUGUUUAUCAAAAACACAGGUCUCUGCUAAACCGUAAGGUGAUGUAUAGGGGCUGACGCCUGCCCGGUGCUGGAAGGUUAAGAGGAGUGGUUAGCUUCUGCGAAGCUACGAAUCGAAGCCCCAGUAAACGGCGGCCGUAACUAUAACGGUCCUAAGGUAGCGAAAUUCCUUGUCGGGUAAGUUCCGACCCGCACGAAAGGCGUAACGAUUUGGGCACUGUCUCAACGAGAGACUCGGUGAAAUCAUAGUACCUGUGAAGAUGCAGGUUACCCGCGACAGGACGGAAAGACCCCGUGGAGCUUUACUGUAGCCUGAUAUUGAAAUUCGGCACAGCUUGUACAGGAUAGGUAGGAGCCUUUGAAACGUGAGCGCUAGCUUACGUGGAGGCGCUGGUGGGAUACUACCCUAGCUGUGUUGGCUUUCUAACCCGCACCACUUAUCGUGGUGGGAGACAGUGUCAGGCGGGCAGUUUGACUGGGGCGGUCGCCUCCUAAAAGGUAACGGAGGCGCUCAAAGGUUCCCUCAGAAUGGUUGGAAAUCAUUCAUAGAGUGUAAAGGCAUAAGGGAGCUUGACUGCGAGACCUACAAGUCGAGCAGGGUCGAAAGACGGACUUAGUGAUCCGGUGGUUCCGCAUGGAAGGGCCAUCGCUCAACGGAUAAAAGCUACCCCGGGGAUAACAGGCUUAUCUCCCCCAAGAGUUCACAUCGACGGGGAGGUUUGGCACCUCGAUGUCGGCUCAUCGCAUCCUGGGGCUGUAGUCGGUCCCAAGGGUUGGGCUGUUCGCCCAUUAAAGCGGUACGCGAGCUGGGUUCAGAACGUCGUGAGACAGUUCGGUCCCUAUCCGUCGUGGGCGUAGGAAAUUUGAGAGGAGCUGUCCUUAGUACGAGAGGACCGGGAUGGACAUACCUCUGGUGUACCAGUUGUCGUGCCAACGGCAUAGCUGGGUAGCUAUGUGUGGACGGGAUAAGUGCUGAAAGCAUCUAAGCAUGAAGCCCCCCUCAAGAUGAGAUUUCCCAACUUCGGUUAUAAGAUCCCUCAAAGAUGAUGAGGUUAAUAGG
rnacentral:rRNA from 1 species